CACGAGCAUUCACAAUGCCUCAAAUUUACUGCAAUUAACUACAUUCAUCAACAACUGCUAAAUAAAUACAAGUACGUUUUCUAUCCUAAUGAGAAAGAGGAUCCACCACCAGGAGGUUUGUGUACACGAGAUGAAGGUCGGAAGUCGGAACGGCUGGUCGUCAUCAACUUGUCCUCCUAAAGGAUGGAAAAUAAAAUUGAGUUUUCAGCUAACAUGCCAUAGAUUUCAAAGUGGCGGUAGGCACCCAGGUGUAAAGACCUGUGUACCUAAAAUGCUCAUGUUUUGUGAUUGGCUUUCAGAAAUAAGC